UACAUAGGGAGCAAGCGUUAUCCGGAAUGAUUGGGCGUAAAGCGUCUGUAGGUGGUUCAAAAAGUCUACCGUCAAAUACGUUGGCUCAACCAACGGCAGGCAUUAGAGUACUAUUGAACUAGAGUGUGGUAGAGGUAGAGGGAAUCCCUAGCGUAACAGUGAAAUGUGUAGAUUUUAGGGAGAACACCGGCGGCGAAGGCGCUCUACUGGGCCAUUACUGACACUGAGAGACGAAAGCUAAGGGAGCGAAAGGG
rnacentral:rRNA from 1 species